UUCAGCUAGCGCUUUGCAACUUUCAUAUGUGUCACACCCUCUGAAGCUAAGCAGGGCUGAGCCUGGUCAGUACCUGGAUGGGAGACCACAUGGGAAAGCUAGGUCGCUGCUGGAA
ensembl:rRNA 5S_rRNA 5S ribosomal RNA